AGGGGAAACGGCAUUAAGUGCUUGCACUUUUUGGACGUCGACCGGCGCACGGGUGAGUAACGCGUAUCCAACCUUCCCAUGACUAAGGGAUAACCUGCCGAAAGGCAGACUAAUACCUUAUGGUCUUCACUGACGGCAUCAGAUGUGAAGUAAAGAUUUAUCGGUUAUGGAUGGGGAUGCGUCUGAUUAGCUUGUUGGCGGGGUAACGGCCCACCAAGGCAACGAUCAGUAGGGGUUCUGAGAGGAAGGUCCCCCACAUUGGAACUGAGACACGGUCCAAACUCCUACGGGAGGCAGCAGUGAGGAAUAUUGGUCAAUGGGCGAGAGCCUGAACCAGCCAAGUAGCGUGCAGGAUGACGGCCCUAUGGGUUGUAAACUGCUUUUGUAUGGGGAUAAAGUCAGUCACGUGUGAUUGUUUGCAGGUACCAUACGAAUAAGGACCGGCUAAUUCCGUGCCAGCAGCCGCGGUAAUACGGAAGGUCCGGGCGUUAUCCGGAUUUAUUGGGUUUAAAGGGAGCGUAGGCUGGAGAUUAAGUGUGUUGUGAAAUGUAGACGCUCAACGUCUGACUUGCAGCGCAUACUGGUUUCCUUGAGUACGCACAACGUUGGCGGAAUUCGUCGUGUAGCGGUGAAAUGCUUAGAUAUGACGAAGAACUCCGAUUGCGAAGGCAGCUGACGGGAGCGCAACUGACG
rnacentral:rRNA from 1 species